rnacentral:rRNA from 1 species
AACCGAGAACUCCUACGGGAGGCAGCAGUGGGGAAUUUUGGACAAUGGGGGCAACCCUGAUCCAGCAAUGCCGCGUGAGUGAAGAAGGCCUUCGGGUUGUAAAGCUCUUUUGUGCGGGAAGAUAAUGACGGUACCGCAAGAAUAAGCCCCGGCUAACUUCGUGCCAGCAGCCGCGGUAAUACGAAGGGGGCUAGCGUUGCUCGGAAUCACUGGGCGUAAAGGGUGCGUAGGCGGGUCUUUAAGUCAGGGGUGAAAUCCUGGAGCUCAACUCCAGAACUGCCUUUGAUACUGAGGAUCUUGAGUUCGGGAGAGGUGAGUGGAACUGCGAGUGUAGAGGUGAAAUUCGUAGAUAUUCGCAAGAACACCAGUGGCGAAGGCGGCUCACUGGCCCGGAACUGACGCUGAGGUGCGAAAGCGUGGGGAGCAAACAGGAUUAGAAACCCUGGUAGUCCGACUGAGA